rfam:Bdellovibrionales bacterium RIFOXYB2_FTLL_36_6 rifoxyb2_full_scaffold_51592, whole genome shotgun sequence.
GUCUCCGUAGCUCAAUUGGAUAGAGCAACUGCCUUCUAAGCAGUAGGUUAGGUGUUCAAGUCACCUCGGAGACG